rnacentral:lncRNA from 1 species
CCCAGAGAACCUGUGUCUACUUCUGAGCGCUGGGAAUGAAGGUGAGCCCCUGCCAUACCUGGCUGUCAAUCCUUGCUCUCUAGUGUUUGAAACCAGUUCUCCGAAGAGUGCAGCUCUUUGGCAGACAUUAGCUUUGCCAGUUCCCUAGUAGCAAAUGAUUUCUCUUGGGCUGUUUUUGUCUUGUUCCCUCUGAUUCUGUUUGGUUACUGGGCCAAUACUUUCUAGGUCCGGAACUGCUCGGUGCUGUCCUGGCUACACAGCCAGGACCAGCACGCCCCACUUUCUCCCUGGUCUACACUGUGCCAGCCCCUUUGUAAGCCUUCCUUUUCACCUCAUCUCUCCACGGCCAGCCGGACCAGAAGGAGCAACCCGCUAUUUCCCUAAACCCAGCUCUAACUUUUUGCCUCAGCACAGAUCUCGCAAAAGGGGAGGAAGGCCUUCACCGCUGAACCCGAGCUUUGCCAUUUCGAAGUGCUGAGUCACCUCGUCCUCUCAGGGUCAGACACUUUCACGCAGGAAACGUCCUGCAGAGCACCGCAGCGGGAGCACCGAGCUGGUAUGUCCCUAUUUGAAUGACAAGACGGGAGAAGAGACAGCGCAUAUCUAUGCUAACUUAUUUUUCCUCAUAAGCUGGUGUUUAAGAGACUUCUGACAGCAGAAAUCAGCUUUCUGGUUGGUAAUUUUGUUGAACAGUAUUUUCUUCCCAUGGCUGGAGAUGACUCAGUAGUUAGAGUCAGUUGCUCUUCCAGAACAGCAAGGUUCAAUUCCCAGCGUGUGCACGCGCGCGCGCGCGCACACACACACACACACACACACACACACACACAUACACACGCCGGGGGCUCACAACUGUAGCUCCAGGGGUGGUAAUUUAUUAUGUGGAAACUCAGAGAGGAUGCCACUGUUUUGAACUAUUUUGAAGGCACAGCCACCAGAGCUUUAGGUGAGUGACUCUAUGCUUAUAGGCCCAAAUGUAUCUUCACCCCCUCUCACUCCCUGCGCUGUACAGUUUCCCAUUACCCAACAUGCACUUCUGUUAGCAGCUGACUCUUUCCUAAACCUAUUCCUCCAGGGACUUACUUAGCUAGACAACCAGCUUUUCAGUUUCUUCCUUAUUUUCCUACCUAACUUUAUUAAAUUAAAUUGUUUAUUUUUUGAGACAGGGUCUCACCUUGUAGCCCUGAAUGACUUGGAAUUUGCUGUGUAGACCAGGUUGGCUUUGAACUCACAAUUCUCCAUCUGCCUCUGUUCCCAAAUGCUGGGAUUAACAGUCUAUGUCACACAUACCUAGUCUUCCUUCCUAGCUUUCUAUUUUCAGGAAAUGUCUCUUGGGACUCAGUCUAUCAAGACAGGGGUGGAAGUGGAGCUGGCCAGUGGAGUGUUGGGACAAAGCUCUGAGUGGAGCCCUCGAGUUUAAAACGGAAUCUUAGAGAGGACGUGUUUACUCCUGCAUUAUAGAGCACGGACGCUCAUGACUCAGUUUGAUUUUCAUACACCGUUCUGCUCAUCACUGCCAAGUGGAGCAAUCCAGGCCUCUCAAAAUGUGCCAUACUACCUUCCAGCUAAAAGCUUUCUGUGGGGCUGGCGAGAUGGCUCAGCGGGUAAGAGCACCCGAUUGCUCUUCCGAAGGUCCAGAGUUCAAAUCCCAG